GACAGAGGGGGCAAGCGUUGCUCGGAAUCACUGGGCGUAAAGGGCGCGUAGGCGGGAUGGCAAGUCAGUCGUGAAAUCUCUCGGCUCAACCGAGAAACGUCGGGCUGAUACUGCCGUUCUUUGAGGGAUGCAGAGGAGACUGGAAUUCCCGGUGUAGCGGUGAAAUGUGUAGAGAUCGGGAGGAACACCUGUGGUGAAGACGGCUCUCUAGACCGCAACUGACGCUGAGACACGAAAAGCGUGGGGUAGCAAACAGG
rnacentral:rRNA from 1 species